GACGAACGCUGGCGGCGUGCUUAACACAUGCAAGUCGAACGGAAAGGCCCCUUCGGGGGUACUCGAGUGGCGAACAGGUGAGUAACACGUGAGUAACCUGCCCUUGACUUCGGGAUAACUUCAGGAAACUGGGGCUAAUACCGGAUAGGAAUCCUUGCUGCAUGGUGGGGGUUGGAAAGCUUCGGCGGUUUUGGAUGGACUCGCGGCUUAUCAGCUUGUUGGUGGGGUAGUGGCUUACCAAGGCUUUGACGGGUAGCCGGCCUGAGAGGGCGACCGGCCAAAUUGGGAUUGGGAAAGGGCCCGGCCCCCACGGGGGGGAAGAGGGGGGGAAAUUGGACCAUGGGCGGGAGCCCGAUGCAGCAACGCCGCGUGCGGGAUGACGGCCUUCGGGUUGUAAACCGCUUUCAGCAGGGGCGAAGCUUGUGGUGACGGUACCUGCAGAAGAAGCACCGGCUAACUACGUG
rnacentral:rRNA from 1 species